UUCUGGGUUGUUUCCCUGGGCUUCCUCUCACCCUCGCUCCCCCUCGGAGCCGCAGAGCCAGCAAUUGUGCAAGAGGAGCCGAGCGCGCGGGGCGCGUAUCACCGAGCGCAUGGUACAAGCCGCCGGCUCGGUGAUUAAUGAUCAGUAGCCGCUGGCCUCGCACUAACACCUAGGCUUUCCCGGCAGAGCCAGCACGCCCAGCCGCCGCCAGCUCGGCCGGACCGAGGAGAGGCUCUGGGGAGGACGCCGAGGCUGCUCCCGAGUGAGCCCUUAGGGAAACCAUGAAGUAACCCUGCCAUUCCAGUAACAGCUAUGACAAAAUAGAGCCCAACUAGGAAGUGAUCCUUUUUUUUUUCUUUUUUGGUAAACGUUAAGGAAAGAAAAACAGCAGAAACAAAAGUGCACAUAACAAUUCAAGAUUUCUUUUUAAAAAAAAGAAAGGAAGUAACUUACCUGUUGGGACAUUCUGAAUAAAAGGUUAAAGAAUUGCAAAUACUAACAGCUAUGUGUUGGCUUUCCCACGUUUACUGAUAGUGAGAGAUGGACCAUGGAAAUUAAGAAGGACACCAACUAGGUCUAAAUGGCACCCAUGAUAGUCAAGACAAUAUGGGAGUGGGAAUACCUCCACCUCAUCAAAACUCAUACACAGAGUAAGAAACUCCCAUGCAGCUUACAAUGUUAAAAUAGACUGGAGAUCUGAAGAAAAAGAUAACAUUUUGAAAGUGAUUUGUGAUGUUUAUGAUGUUUAACAUUUAAACUGUAUUUUCACAGAACUUCAGUAAAAUCCAACUUAUUGAUUGCUGCAAAUAAACAUCUUCUGCUUACUUUUGAGCUGAUACUUACUAAGCAUUUCAUAGAGCAUGUUGAGUAAUCUGUAAAAAAACGUUAGCCAUAUGUAUUCUAAACCUAUACUACAGAUGCCGAUAUUUUGGAUAAUAAUUAAAAGUUGUAAUUACAAAGAAUUUUUUAAAAAUAUUUUUGCAUAUAGCUACAUACUGUGCAUGUACCCUCAAUGAGAUCCAAUUAGUUGCAAAGAAUUUGCAUUUCAGUGUGUGUGGGAUAA